GACGAACGCUGGCGGCGUGCUUAACACAUGCAAGUCGAACGGAAAGGCCCUGCUUUUGUGGGGUGCUCGAGUGGCGAACGGGUGAGUAACACGUGAGUAACCUGCCCUUGACUUUGGGAUAACUUCAGGAAACUGGGGCUAAUACCGGAUAGGAGCUCCUGCUGCAUGGUGGGGGUUGGAAAGUUUCGGCGGUUGGGGAUGGACUCGCGGCUGAUCAGCUUGUUGGUGGGGUAGUGGCUUACCAAGGCUUUGCCGGGUAGCCGGCCUGAGAGGGUGACCGGCCACAUAGGGACGGAGAGACGGCCCAGACGACUACGGGAGGCAGGAGGGGGGAAUAUUGCACAAUGGGCGGAAGCCUGAUGGAGCAACGCCGCGUGCGGGAGGACGGCCUUCGGGUGGUAAACCGCUUUCGCCUGUGACGAAGCGUGAGUGACGGUAAUGGGGAAAGAAGCACCGGCUAACUACGU
rnacentral:rRNA from 1 species